CAAAGAGUGCUUGAAAUUGUC
rnacentral:siRNA from 1 species